CAACUCCUCCUCCCUGCCACACACCUACCAUCUGAGUUCUCUCCUCUUCCUGAAGAGAAAGUUGGCACAUGACCUCAGUCAGUGUUUGACAGAAUGAAAGGAAAGGAGCUUUCGAAGUUUUGCUUUUGCUAAAUGAACGUCAAGUAGGUGUUACCCGUAACAAGUUUCUGAAGCACUGAGACCUUCUCACUCAUUGGAAAGCAGAGAAAGAAACGGCCCUGUUCCCAUCUUUUCCAAUCCCCUCCCCACCAAUAAGGUGAUUUGUGAGAGAAGCCCCAAUCUUUGGAAGGUUUUAAGAAACUGUCUUUGAAGACUUUAAAGUCACUGGUGGAAAAUGACAAUGUCUACCCUGGAGAGACUGGCCUGGAGGAGACUGAUUGAGGUUCUAGGAAGAAGAUCUCCCCCAACAAAGGAAGGCUGGGAGCUGGAGCUUCCAGUCAACGUUGGACAGUUGCUUCAAGGGUAGCACCCUUUGACAAGAUCAGCCAAAGAUGAGGGUCAGAAACAGAUUGGCUGCCAUCCAGACAGUAUGGAGAAUCCUUCCCCAGUCCUUUCCAUUUUUCCUCCUUCUCUUUUCAGGCUGUCAGCAGUCUCCACCUUUCACAGUUACACCCUCAACCUCAAAUAAGACUUUUAUAAAGCAUCCUUUGGCCCUUCCUUUCAAGCUCCCAAACU